UAAUAAGUGUUUUAUGGCACUUUUUAAAUCCAUAUCCACCUUGUGUGCAAUGUCGGUCGAUCUUCUUUUUUUGAGGAUCGACCAAACAUCAACCUUUAUCUUUUAACUCUUUGUCUGAAAAAUAUUACUGAAUAAACAAUUCAAAAUA
rnacentral:misc_RNA from 1 species